AUCGCGKCUAACAUGCAGUCGAACGGAAAGGCCCUGCUUUUGUGGGGUGCUCGAGUGGCGAACCGUUUAGUAACACGUGAGUAACCUGCCCUUGACUUUGGGAUAACUUCAGGGAACUGGGGCUAAUACCGGAUAGGAGCUCCUGCUGCAUGGUGGGGGUUGGAAAGUUUCGGCGGUUGGGGAUGGACUCGCGGCUUAUCAGCUUGUUGGUGGGGUAGUGGCUUACCAAGGCUUUGACGGGUAGCCGGCCUGAGAGGGUGACCGGCCACAUUGGGACUGAGAUACGGCCCAGACUCCUACGGGAGGCAGCAGUGGGGAAUAUUGCACAAUGGGCGGAAGCCUGAUGCAGCAACGCCGCGUGCGGGAUGACGGCCUUCGGGUUGUAAACCGCUUUCGCCUGUGACGAAGCGUGAGUGACGGUAAUGGGUAAAGAAGCACCGGCUAACUACGUGCCAGCAGCCGCGGUGAUACGUAGGGUGCGAGCGUUGUCCGGAUUUAUUGGGCGUAAAGGGCUCGUANGUGGUUGAUCGCGUCGGAAGUGUAAUCUUGGGGCUUAACCCUGAGCGUGCUUUCGAUACNGGUUGACUUGAGGAAGGUAGGGGAGAAUGGAAUUCCUGGUGGAGCGGUGGAAUGCGCANAUAUCANGAGGAACACCAGUGGCGAAAGCGGUUCUCUGGGCCUUUCCUGACGCUGAAGA
rnacentral:rRNA from 1 species